AAAAAAAAAAAAAGAAGAAAAGGGGGGAAAAAAGAAAACACGCCCUAAUUUGAUUCUGAUCGAUAGAAUCUGAAUUCAUAUCACCUGAUCACAUUUACAAAAAUCAAAAUUAAACAAAGAAAUCUAAAAUUACACAAUUUUUAUCAAAAAGAAAAAGAAAUCAAAUAGAGAAAAUGGGAAACAUUUAAAUUGAAAUAAUGCUAAAAAUAUUGGGGAUUUGGGAGCGUGGAGAAACACGCACCUAUGAAACUGUACGUAUUCUAUUUUCUCUCUUUCAUAUUCUUUCCUGUGUCAAAGUGAGAAAGAAACAAGAACCCAACAUUCUUUUCUAUUUGUAUACAGAAGGAAAAGAAAAGAAAAGAAA
rnacentral:misc_RNA from 1 species